rnacentral:snRNA from 1 species
GGGCUCCCCAUUCGACCCGUC